GUGAACGUGUGCUGGCAAAUAUUUUGCAGGAAAAGCCAGUGCAGACUAGGCUCUCGUAGACAAUCCGGGCUCUGCAUGUUUCAGCUGAACAUUAGCGGUGGAUGUGUUUUUGGUACUGAUAAGUCUCAAGGCCUGUUUUGCAAUCACUGCAAGUUUCUCCUUUUUAGUCUGCAAUGCAGAUUGAUCUCUGUCCUAGUGGCAGGCAGGCUUCUGGCAAGCACAGCAUGGCAAACAACCUUUGAUUCCCAGGGGCAACAUUUUGUGCAGUGAGCAGCAAAGAUUUUUGUUUUUCAUCUGAUGUUUUAUAUUAGAGGCUGCUUCGUCUUCCUGGCUGCACCUACUGGGUAAAUGAAUAUGCUGGGCUUGACCAGCCCUCAUUUGCACAGGCCAUGCGAAAUUCAUGUCCCUGAGCUAACAGGGGCCGCUGAGCACCACUGAGGAGCACUCAGCUCCAAAGGUACCCGAGGCCUUGGACAUGUUUUUCUAGCUAGAAGAGCAGUUUCAAACAGCAGCCUGGAUUUCAUCAGGCAACUCACCUGCAAAAGCAGCCUGAAUGAUUCAAACUACUGAAAAAGGAUUUGGAAAUGCUUAACAUCUUUCAAGAUAAGGUCAUGUGUGUGAUGCUUUCAUAUGGCAAGAUCUGCAACUCAUACGCGGAGUCUCAGCUGAUUAAGGGAUGGUCCUAGCCACUAUCAGGAGAUUGUACAAUCUGUAGGAUUCCAUAUGUUACAUGGCUUUGUGACUAAUUCAGACUGACUCUCUUCUACCACCUCAAGCCAGUUCAUCCAUCUACCACCUUGAUCACUCCGCAGUUCCAGCGGAGCUGAUGAGAAGCUUGCCUCAGGCCAACCAACCCUCAUUUCAAGCAAUAUUAUGCACUCAAGUUACUCCAAGAUUGGAAGACAUUCAUUUUUACUCCUGAAAAUGACUUAGAAAGAAAAGAAAGAAGAAAGUGUCAUGAGGAAGUGUGAAGGGAAUGACCCCCAGCCCAACACUAUUCUUUGGUCAGCAAAAGCAACAUGCUCAGCGCCAUUACAGGAACAACAAAAGCCAUGCUCCUUUGCAGGAUGAAGGGAGAAGGAGAAAGAGAACAAAGAAGAUAAGAAGAAAUUUAAUACUCCAACAUUUCAUUCUGAAUCCAUCAAGAUAUAAUCACAACAAGACUACUUCUGUUUCUCCAGAAAUGAAAUAUACUUCCUAUUGUUCAAAGAAUCACAGAAUCACUGAAUGGUUGCAGUUGGAAGGGACGUCUGGAGAUCAUCUACUCCCACUCCCCUGCUCGAGCAGGGUGACCUAA
rnacentral:lncRNA from 1 species